rnacentral:pre_miRNA from 1 species
AAUAGGAGCAUGAUAAAUCAGAUUUUUUCUCCUGAUUUUUAGUUUUUUCCUGAUGUAAAAUUUAAAUCCAACUAAAAAUACUAAAAAUCAAUAAAAAAAAAUCUAAUUCAUCAUGAUCUUAUU